UAGGAAGCAUGUAAGAGUCCUCCGUCGUGAUUGCUGUAAUUUGAGCAUAGAUAUAUGUCCCACACCUGAAGGGCAAUUAAUACUUGAUCUGCAUGAGUACCCAGUUUGUGUUAUUUGAUUUAUUGCCCAAUAUUAUUGUUUUGGAUGAUCUUCAUGUCAUGUCGAGUCUUCUUCUCUGAUUUAUUUUUGCAUAUUCAUCCAGUAAUCAAGUGUUGUAGAUUGAGGAUAAAAGAGAAGAAUUAUCGAAGAAAUGAGUUAUAGAAGAAGAAGAAAAGGGAAUACAGAAAGAAAAUUCUCAUUCAUUCAAAACAUGGAAAAGAAAUGAGCUCAACAAGGUAUUGGGCCAAGUGAUUGGGUUGCUCCAUCUCGUUCCAAUCUUCAGUAGCCCAUCUCCACUUCAUCAGAUAAGUCCAACUCCAACUCCUUUUGUUUUUCAAUUCCUUUUUUGAUUUCAAUCCCCAAUUUACUCUCUCGAAUCCCUAACCCUUCUUUCUCCAGAAUCCCUAACCCUGCUUCUUCCAUUCCCAAUUCGUGCUCGUCCUUUCGUUCUUCGUCUUCUUCUCCAACUAUAACAAUACCCACUCCACGAGAUGAGCCUUGUCCCCAAGGAUCAAACGCAGGGAACUGUCCACGCAGAAACGUAUAAUCUUCCCAAGUAUCGUUCGAUUCAUCCAAGUUUUGCCAUCGAAUCAAAAGCUGAGUAACUGUUUUUCUAUUUCUAUUCACGAUUCGUCUUCCCAAAAUUUUCAAGGGUUUUAUUUGGAACUGACCAUCUUCUUCUAUGGCAGGAGGAUCUGUAGCAGUUACUGAUGAAGCCCCGAUGAAUCUCUUUAGAAGGCUGACAUGAAAGACAGGGUGGAGUCUCGAAGAAGCAGGGCAAUCGAAGAUUGUCUAUAGGGCUGUAACUUCAGAACCGAAGCUCUCGAUACCAAUUUGUUGUAGAUUGAGGAUAAAAGAGAAGAAUUAUCGAAGAAAUGAGUUAUAGAAGAAGAAGAAAAGGGAAUACAGAAAGGAAAUUCUCAUUCAUUCAAAACAUGGAAAAGAAAUGAGGUAUUGGGCCAAGUGACUGGGCUGCUCCAUCUCGUUCCAAUCUUCCGUAGCCCAUCUCCACUUCAUCAGAUAAGUCCAACUCCAACUCCUUUUGUUUUUUAAUUCCUUUUUUUGAUUUCAAUCCCCAAUUUACUCUCUCGAAUCCCUAACCCUUCUUUCUCCAGAAUCCCUAACCCUGCUUCUUCCAUUCCCAAUUCGUGCUCUUCCUUUCAUUCUUCGUCUUCUUCUCCAACUAUAACAUCAAGUUUUAGGAAUGUCUUGCCAAAUGCUGUGAAUAAGUUGAAUAUUUUAUCUUCAACUUUUAAGAACCUCACUCGGUGAAGAUGUGUUUAGUGGAGGUGUAUAGAUCUAUGCAUUGUCAAUGCUGCUGUGUAGUGUUUCACUGUUGGUUUAUGUUUUUCCUUCCUAGAAGAGGUCUGGAGUGAUAGGUGCAUUUAAAUGACCUCGUUUAGGUUAUUGAAUAGAUUCUAGGAAGUAUUGUGCUAUGUGAGUAAAAAGGAUGGGCCUUAUUCAAUCUAUUCAUAACUGUAUGUAAUAUCUAUGCAUUAUGCUGCAUAAAAAAUAGUCAGGUUUAUAUUUCUUUGCAAUUUUUUUUCUUUUUAGUGGAAAAGUUUCCAUGCAUUAGUGAAUUUAUGUGAAUGCGUUUCCCUUUUAUAUGCAUUUGUGUUCUUUUUUUUCCUGCACAUUAUGCUUGCACUCCUGGUAUAUUCGUAUUUGUGUGCCUCUUCCUUGAGAGAUAUCUUUAAGGUACAUACUGUUAGUCUUGACAAUUUUCCUGGCUGUUUUACCAUUCCUAGCUCUCUUGAUUUGCUUACGAAAGUCGAUGGUGCUUUGUGUCACCAGGGUGAACUGUGUGAUAAUCAUAACCUUUUAUCAUCAUGCUUU